rnacentral:rRNA from 1 species
AUUGAACGCUGGCGGCAUGCCUUACACAUGCAAGUCGAACGGCAGCAUGGAGAGCUUGCUCUCUGAUGGCGAGUGGCGAACGGGUGAGUAAUGCAUCGGAACGUACCGUGUAAUGGGGGAUAACGUAGCGAAAGGUACGCUAAUACCGCAUACGACCUGAGGGUGAAAGCAGGGGAUCGCAAGACCUUGCGUUAUACGAGCGGCCGGUGUCAGAUUAGCUAGUUGGUGAGGGAAAGGCUCACCAAGGCGACGAUCUGUAGCGGGUCUGAGAGGAUGAUCCGCCAGACUGGGACUGAGACACGGCCCAGACGCCUACGGGAGGCAGCAGUGGGGAAUUUUGGACAAUGGGGGCAACCCUGAUCCAGCCAUGCCGCUGGAGUGAAGAAGGCCUUCGGGUUGUAAAGCUCUUUCGGUCGGGAAGAAAUCGCACAGGCUAAUACUCUGUGUGGAUGACGGUACCGGCAUAAGAAGCACCGGCUAACUACGUGCCAGCAGCCGCAGUAA